UGCAGCUCAGUGGUAGAGGACUUGCCUAGCAUGCAUAAGGCCCUGGGUUCAAUUCCCAGCACUGCAA
rnacentral:tRNA from 1 species